rnacentral:rRNA from 1 species
UAGGGAAUCUUCGGCAAUGGGGGGAACCCUGACCGAGCAACGCCGCGUGAGUGAAGAAGGUUUUCGGAUCGUAAAGCUCUGUUGUUAAGGAAGAACGAGUGUGAGAAUGGAAAGUUCAUGCUGUGACGGUACUUAACCAGAAAGGGACGGCUAACUACGUGCCAGCAGCCGCGGUAAUACGUAGGUCCCGAGCGUUGUCCGGAUUUAUUGGGCGUAAAGCGAGCGCAGGCGGUUAGAUAAGUCUGAAGUUAAAGGCAGUGGCUCAACCAUUGUAGGCUUUGGAAACUGUUUAACUUGAGUGCAGAAGGGGAGAGUGGAAUUCCAUGUGUAGCGGUGAAAUGCGUAGAUAUAUGGAGGAACACCGGUGGCGAAAGCGGCUCUCUGGUCUGUCACUGACGCUGAGGCUCGAAAGCGUGGGGAGCGAACAGG